UACAAAUGAAUAUAGUUUGAUCUCUUGCCAUAAACCACAUGUUUGAUUAUAACAAAUCAGAAUCAUUUAUGAACCCACUUCAUAAACACAACCACAUGUUGAGGAUAUAAGUGGAUGAAAUCCCUCUAAUGCGGUCUUGUCAUAUGUACCAAAAUACUUUCAUAUUAAUUUAGUAGCUAGACUUGUGCGUCAAUUUCUUUUGCUCCACCCUCUUCCCUUUUUCUUCUAAUGGUCCAAUCUCUAGAGACCACAAAGGGUAGGGCAAUAAUGGGUAUGCUUCCCUCCUACUCAAUCAAGC
rnacentral:lncRNA from 1 species